UUCUGCCCCAGGGGAGAGGUUUCUCUUUUACUACCGCGAAAACCCACAGGACGCUGCUUCAUCCCAGAGCCAAGGAUACCAGGAAGGAAGGUCAGAGUGAGGAGGUGUCUGAGUGUUUCAGAUCACACAGUGACAUACUGCUUGAUGGCUUCAGAAAUCCUUCAUGAGCUGGGAGACAGCCCCAGAGGUGACAGCCCCAACCAUCUCGAGGACAACACAUCAGCAGCAGCAGCCACGUAGAUGUUUGUUUCUGUACCUGGAUUCUAAGUGCCUGAAGGACUGGACAUAUCUGGUUUCUAAGUUCCA
rnacentral:lncRNA from 1 species